AUUAUGAUGUCUGUAGUUUGAAGACAGUCGGACUCUUACAUUACAUAACUCUUUAUGAAAUGUAAUGUAAGAGUCCGACUGUCUUCAAACUAUAAUUACUC
rnacentral:pre_miRNA from 1 species